rnacentral:rRNA from 1 species
UACGGAGGGUGCUAGCGUUGCUCGGAAUGACUGGGCGUAAAGGGCGCGUAGGCGGUUCGUACAGUCAGACGUGAAAUUCCCGGGCUCAACCUGGGGGCUGCGUUUGAUACGUGCGGGCUUGAGUUCGGAAGAGGGUCGUGGAAUUCCCAGUGUAGAGGUGAAAUUCGUAGAUAUUGGGAAGAACACCGGUGGCGAAGGCGGCGACCUGGUCCGAUACUGACGCUGAGGCGCGAAAGCGUGGGGAGCAAACAGG